AGAGUUCGAUUCUGGCUCAGGAUGAACGCUGGCGGCGUGCUUAACACAUGCAAGUCGAACGAAGCAUAUGCGCAGAUUUCUUCGGAUUGAAGUGCGUAUGACUGAGUGGCGGACGGGUGAGUAACGCGUGGGGAACCUGCCUUUCACAGGGGGACAACAGCUGGAAACGGCUGCUAAUACCGCAUAACCCGCUAGGGCCGCAUGGCCCGGACGGAAAAGGAGCAAUCCGGUGAAAGAUGGACCCGCGUCUGAUUAGCUAGUUGGUGAGGUAACGGCCCACCAAGGCGACGAUCAGUAGCCGAACUGAGAGGUUGACCGGCCACAUUGGGACUGAGACACGGCCCAA
rnacentral:rRNA from 1 species